GUUCAACUUCCUGCCCAAGCCCUUCACGCUGAGCCAGCUCGUGGCCUCGGUGAAGGAAACCAUGACAUCUCCGUCAUAAACGCCUCCAAAGGCAGGCGAAUCACCGCCCAACGCCAGCCCGCGACCGAGGGCCGCAGCCUGUGCGGCAUCUAUGCGCUUCCCUUUCAGCCGCUGGUGCCCAUGUAUGGGCCUGUCCCCUUUGCCGGGGAUCAAUGCCCCUUGAGGGCCGAGAGGGAACAGACAUGAUUUCGUCGCAGCGCUUGCGCUCAGUCAUCAAAACACUUGCUGUGGUCAUGGCCGUCGCCAUGC
rnacentral:misc_RNA from 1 species